GAUAAGGUAAGCUAAUUAAGCUAUUGGGUUCAUACCUCAAUUAUAAAGGUUACAACCCUUUCUUUAUUA